rnacentral:rRNA from 1 species
AGACGUCUACAUUAGAUACCCGUGUAGUCCCAGCCGUAAACUAUGCGCGUUAGGUGUAUCGGUGACCACGAGUCACCGAGGUGCCGAAGGGAAACCGUGAAACGUGCCGCCUGGGAAGUACGGUCGCAGGGCUGAAACUUAAAGGAAUUGGCGGGGAGCACCACAACGGGUGGAGCCUGCGGUUUAAUUGGACUCAACGCCGGGAAGCUCACCGGAUAGGACAGCAGAAUGAUUGCCGGGCUGAAGACCCUGCAUGACUAGCUG